rnacentral:lncRNA from 1 species
UGCACUUGUGGACAUUCGUAUUACCUCUAAGCAUGGCAUAUGCGUUAGCGAAGGAGGUUCACACGGCCUGGCGGCAUCUCUUCGUCCCUGCGUGUCUUCAACCACGCCGGUAAGAGCUUUUGCAAAUUAUGGUGGUUCAAUAAUCACGGUCCCGGGUCAGCAUUUUUCACGAAGUGCUUGGCACUCAACCUGUCGCUUCGGCACGACUUACGUCUCUGCAAAUAUAAUGACUGCGACACUGGCCACCUGUGUCACACCUGCUCGCGCAAAGGGGAUAGUUCAGUUUGCAUUUUUUGCCAAUGGAGUACGAUCCCUAGAUCGGCUUCCACUAAAUUUUACCUUCACAUAAAGAGUUAUGAUCUGCCCAACUUGACAUGUAUUCAGAUGGCUUCCGGCGUGAAUGCCGCAAAUAAAGGACAUUUGAUGGCUCUAUCGAUGUCAUAUUUGACUGAAGAUCUGUUUUGUUUGGUUGGUGUGAUCAUGGAGCGUACACGAUCCAGCUCCUGCGUUGCUGUUAGGAAUAAUAAUGUGAAGAACGCUUUUUAUUUGUGUGUUUCGUAAAUGAAGCGACUAAUGCACAACCAGUACUGCAUAUAAAAGGCAGUGAACAUAACAUACAGAUAGGAACAAGAACAAAAUCUUACGAUCAUUCAUUUCGCAAUUCAAUGCAAUAAAAAACACCUUCGAAGGUAGCAGUAAACUCCCCAGUGUGCCCGGACAGUCACGUAGAUGUAUGCGGUGUGCGGUGUGGUGGAGCGCGUCCGUCCCCAGGUGGUCGGCAUAGCCGCGUCGCGCGAGCACGCGUCGUUGUCGUCGUCGCUCCUCGUCGUCGCUCCUCGGUUCGUCCGACGCCGGUCACUUCUCCUGCGCCCGUGCACACGCGAACAGCGUCGUCACGCUGAGCUCGAAACCAUGCCGGUUUUAGCAAUAUCGAGUUGGCAUUAUUUGGGUCGCUUCAGGACAGGGGUGACGUAAUUAUUUGAUAACCCGGCCUUUUGAAAAUCAAGGUAUUUGCUCAUCAUAGGAGAACGAACACGCACACGUGCACACUCGCGGAGAAAUUCAGCCGAGGUGUUUUAUCUGCACAAAAUACAACCCUCAUUUCCCGUUGCCCACGACUGUCCCUUCAAAGUUGUUGCGACAAAUUUUUGAUUCACCCCCUUGCCAUCGAGCAGUCCGCGCCUCCAACAUAGGCGCGAUCUCGAACCCGCCGAACGGAACGUGGUUGCAGCCGUCACCGUCUCGUUAUCGAGAAGUGAAACGACCCGGUAAACCUCCGUUUCCGCUCGUGGACAACACGUCCACGUGCUCAAAUAAUUUUUGUUUCAAGGUCUCGGGCGCUAAUGAGCGCAUUUGUCCUGAUCAGCAAGAUCCGGACAUUCGCGCGCCAGGGACCCCGAGACCUUCAAACGAAAAUUAUUGUGAUACGAGUAUGCGAUCGUUACUUUUUCAGUGGCGAGGCGUGCGCCGCGGACGCGCGCCGAAAGAAUUUCCCGUGUCGGGGGGGAUGGAAAGGUGUAUCGGGGAGUGUACCUGAGGCUCUAAAUCCUGUACAAAAAUGUUCGUCGACGGGUUGGGAAGCGCACCGCCGUCGAACCGCCGUCUUUAUUUCCCGCGAAAAGUCGGUUUUAGGGCCCAAAAAAAAUCGAUGGGGA